UCCAAUCGAACCCGGAGAUAGCUGGUUCUCCCCGAAAUAGCUUUAGGGCUAGCGUCGGAAAGAACCUUAGUGAAGGUAGAGCACUGAAUGUGUGAUGGCCCCAUCCCGGGGUACUGAAUACAAUCAAACUGCGAAUGUCAUUAAGGAUGUCCGGCAGUCAGACUGUGAGUGAUAAGGUCCAUGGUCAAGAGGGAAACAGCCCAGACCGCCAGUUAAGGUCCCAAAAUACAGGCUAAGUGGAAAAGGAUGUGGGGAUGCCCAGACAACUAGGAGGUUGGCUCAGAAGCAGCCAUCCUUUAAAGAGUGCGUAACAGCUCACUAGUCGAGUGACCCUGCGCCGAAAAUGUACCGGGGCUAAGCCUGAUACCGAAACUGCGGAUUGUAGGAAACUAUAGUGGUAGGGGAGCGUUGUAUACGAGCAGAAGCCGUACCGUGAGGAGCGGUGGAUUGUAUAGAAGUGAGAAUGCCGGUGUGAGUAGCGAGAUGUAGGUGAGAAUCCUACACACCGAAAGCCCAAGGAUUCCAGGGGAAGGUUCGUCCGCCCUGGGUAAGUCGGGACCUAACGCGAGGCCGAAAGGCGUAGUGGAUGGAAAGCAGGCGAAAGAUUCCUGCACCCGUAUAUGGAGCGAAGGAGUGACGGAGACGGAUAGUGUGACCCUCUUAAUGGAUUGAGGGCGAAGCGAAGCGGCUGGUUACCAGGCAAAUCCGGUAACCAAAAGGCUAGAGCGUGACAGGUAAGCGAAAUCUUAGGAAAGUAGCGAAGCACAUGAUGACGGCUUCCAGGAAAAGCUUCUGGCAAUGCAUAUGCGGCCCGUACCAAAACCGACACAGGUGGGCAGGGAGAGAAUCCCGAGGUGAGCGAGAGAACUGUUGCCAAGGAACUCGGCAAAAUGACUCCGUAAGUUAGCGAGAAGGAGUGCUUAAGCAAUUAAGCCGCAGUGAAGAGGCCCAAGCGACUGUUUAACUAAAACACAGCUCUCUGCGAAGUCGCAAGACGAAGUAUAGGGGGUGACACCUGCCCGGUGCUGGAAGGUUAAGAGGAUCUGUUAAGAGCGAUCUGAAGCAGUGAUCCGAAGCCCCAGUGAACGGCGGCCGUAACUAUAACGGUCCUAAGGUAGCGAAAUUCCUUGUCAGGUAAGUUCUGACCCGCACGAAAGGUGUAACGAUUUGGGCGCUGUCUCGGCAGCAGACUCGGUGAAAUCUUAGUACCUGUGAAAAUGCAGGUUACCCGCAACUAGACGGAAAGACCCCAUGGAGCUUUACUGCAGCCUGAUAUUGAAUUCUGGUCAUACAUGUACAGGAUAGGUGGGAGACAAAGAGACGUGCACGCCAGUGUACGAGGAGUCGACGUUGGGAUACCACUCUUGUGUGACCGGGGUUCUAACCUGGUAUCGAGAACAGGUACGGGGAGAGUGUCAGGUGGGCAGUUUGACUGGGGCGGUCGCCUCCCAAAGAGUAACGGAGGCGCCCAAAGGUACGCUCAGAUUGGAUGGAAACCAAUCGUCGAGUGCAAUUGCAGAAGCGUGCUUGACUGUGAGACAAACAAGUCGAACAGGGACGAAAGUCGGGAAUAGUGAUCCGGCGGUGCCGAAUGGAAGGGCCGUCGCUCAACGGAUAAAAGCUACCCUGGGGAUAACAGGCUGAUCUCGCCCAAGAGUUCACAUCGACGGCGAGGUUUGGCACCUCGAUGUCGGCUCAUCGCAUCCUGGAGCUGGAUUCGGUUCCAAGGGUUGGGCUGUCCGCCCAUUAAAGCGGUACGCGAGCUGGGUUCAGAACGUCGUGAGACAGUUCGGUCCCUAUCUGUUGUGGGCGAAGGAGAUCUGCGGAGAGCUGUCCUCAGUACGAGAGGACCGGGAUGGACCUACCGCUGGUGCACCGGUUGUUCCGCCAGGGGCAUAGCCGGGUAGCUAAGUAGGGAAAGGAUAAGCGCUGAAAGCAUCUAAGCACGAAGCCUACUCCAAGAUGAGAUCUCCCAUUCGCAAGAAGUAAGACCCCUUAAAGACGAUAAGGUAGAUAGGCCAGGGAUGGAAGUGCAGUGAUGUACGGAGUUGACUGGUACUAAUCGGUCGAGGACUUAAUCAG
rnacentral:rRNA from 1 species